AAGCGUUUUCUUGGGCUCGCGGCCGGUAGAAGUUCUUUGGAACAGGACAUCAUAGAGGGUGACAAUCCCGUCCGUGACCGGUCGUGCGUUCAUCUACGAUACGCUUUCAAAGAGUCGAGUUGUUUGGGAUUGCAGCUCCAAAUGGGUGGUAAACAUCACCUAAGGCUAAAUAUUGGCGAGAGACCGAUAGCGAACAAGUACCGUGAGGGAAAGAUGAAAAGAACUUUGAAAAGAGAGUUAAACAGUACGUGAAAUUGUUGAAAGGGAAACGAUUGAAGUCAGUCGUGCUGGCGCGAAAUCAACCAUCUCGUCUUGAGGUCGCAUGGCGCGACGAGCCUCAAAACCGUCACGAAGUGUGAACUCUUGACGAAAAGGUGCACUUUCGUGUCCGCUGGUUAACAUCAAUUUCGACCGUCAUAAAAAGGCUGGAGGGAUGUGGCUCCUUCGGGAGUGUUAUAACCUUUAGCGGAAUGUGGUGUUCGGGAUUGAGGAUUGCAACGAAUACCUUCAGGGCUGUUCCACCUGGCUUCUCAUUGGUAUCCUGGUGACGACAGCUUGC
rnacentral:rRNA from 1 species